AAAUACACAGGGGAUAAUGGAGAAAACACAGGUAUAAAUACACAGGGGAUAAUGGAGAAAACACAGGUAUAAAUACACAGGGGAUAAUGGAGAAAACACAGGUAUAAAUACACAGGAGAUCAUGGAGAAAACAGAAAACACAGGUAUAAAUACACAGGGGAUAAUGGAGAAAACACAGGUAUAAAUACACAGGGGAUAAUGGAGAAAACACAGGUAUAAAUACACAGGGGAUAAUGGAUAGUGGAGAAAAGUGGGAGACACCAGGAGGGGGAGGUGGAGACAAGCACAAGACAGGUGAAACAGAUCAGCGAGUGACAAAAUACAGAGGUGAACUAUCAAUUCCCCGGAUUCCUACCGCAAACUCUGAACCCUUUUCAUCUGGAUCAUGGCAGCUACCUAACCGCAACCCG
rnacentral:lncRNA from 1 species